CUCUAAUUAAGACUGAACACUGCGUGCGUGUGUGUGUUUCUACAUCUGAAAUGAAAAGAUUCAGGUGUUGGUUCCUGUUUAGUGUAUUUAUUUCUUACCAGAGAUCAGCUUGCCAAAGAAAGCAGAUGUCAACAUGGGCAGUUCGCAUGACAUGACUUCAUCUUUGAAAACCAUGAAGCAAACUAUGCAAGUGUGCGGGUUGGAAAGCGGCACUCCAGUCGGGACUCAGUGACUCCUCCGUCUCACUCCAACAGGUGUUGAUCUCACGGCAGGCCCUGACAGGAAGUUUCCGCAGCUCUCCACCAAACCCAUUGGAGUGCACAUCAGCCUGACGGACGGAUGAAUGACACCAGUGAAAAAGGAGCGCUAUCCUUCGGGCUAACCCGCUCAGGAUGAGUGACAGGGUGCAGGCGGGAGAAUAGACUGCCUUUGAACCUGAAAAAACUCUUUUUCCUCCCUUUCCCAACUCUUUUCUCCCCCUUUUCUCUUCUUCAAGGUGCAGAUUCCCCCCAAACUCUGGCCGAUCCUCUCUUUUCUCUGUGGUGGCGUUUUGUUUCGACUGGCUAAGGGUGUGUGUUUGUGUGUGUGUGUGGUGGGCAGUGCAGGGUGUGAGGCGUGUUAAAUGCUCUCCUUUCAGAGGCAGAAUGUGUCAGUCAGCUCACAGGCCCUGUUUUGUUUGGAGCUGUCAACUCUUCUGGAAGAGGGAGAGGAAAAAACGGGGGAGUGAAGAGGGAGAGAGAGAAAUCAGAGGGCAAGCGGAGAGGGACGUGUGGGUGUAGGGAGAGAGACAGCUGGGAGGCCUACAGGAGAGCCUGACCUCACCUCAAGAGCAAAGGGUCACUGGCAGGCCACUCACAACUAUUCCACAAAGCUGAAAUGAGUUAUUGAAUACUCAGCCCACAGCAGAAUAACUCAUGCAGCUAGAAGAGCAAAUGAUAUACAAAGUAUAGUAGCAUGAAGGUGUUUUGAAAAAGAGAAAUGGUAUAUGGCAAACUUAAAGGGACAGUACACUCACAAAAUAAUCAUUCUGUCAUCAAUUCUGUCACCUUCAUGUUCUUCCAAAUCUGUAUCGACUUUCUGUAGCAGAAUGUUGACGCAUAUACUCUGCAUUCAGUGUAAAUGUAAAUGAUGAACCGGGGCUGUCAAACUCAAAAAGUAAAAGGCACAAAAGUAGUCUAUAACUUUCAAGUCUUCUCAAACAAAUAUGAUAGCUUUGUAUGAGGAAAAUUACAAAAUUUAAAUUAUAUGUCAAUUUGAAAAAGUCAUUGAUGACUCUUAACUAUACAUAAUGUGGCAAGUUUGAAUAUAGACUAGUUUUGCUGUAUUGUAUUAUAAGUUAUUGAAUGCCUUUACAGAACUCCCGAAAAUAUAUAUAUAUAUAUAUAUAUUUUUUUAAAUAUAUUCACAUAAAUUUUCAGUAACACUUUAGAAUACUGUUUCUUACUUACUGCAUAACUAAUAAGGAAUUAUUGAAGAACUAACAGGUAAUUACUCAUUAACACGGUAAAAAGGACAAGUACAAAGUACUACUACAGUAGCAACUUUGUUACAGUCCACUACUAUUAUUAGCCUAUAAUGGAAAUGAAAUAUGCAUUUUGUUUGCUGCACACCCAAAAGGACUCAUUACAAUAAUUGUACAUAAGUUUUUGCCUGUAUGGUAAAUAAUUGCUUUGUGCGCAUGUUCUGUAGGAAAUAUGCUUCGUAAAGGAACCCCAACUCCACUGUCUUGCCAUAACUAUCCAACUUACUACAGAUACACUCUGUAACAUGCUGGUUUGUUUAUUUAUUUACCGAAACACUGGGAUGAAACUGUUGGGUCAUAUUUUUUUUUUUUUUUUUUUUAGUGUUGGGUAGUUUUUGUGUUGUGUUAACGCCUAAAUCGAAAUACUUCGGAUGUUAAAAUAUGUUCUCAGAGCUGUACACUGUUUAUGGGCAGGUUACGGAGUCAGUCACAGCAUAUUGCAGCUAUGAGUGAAACGCAGAGUGGAACCCAGCUCCCGCAUGAGAUCCAGCACCGCUACCGAGGAAACUGGAGACCGGUUGACUACACUUAAAUUGCUUUUAAAUAUUUAACUUUUGAUUGUAAAAUGUUUGUUAAAUUAGUUUAAAUGUGGGCUGUAUACAACGGAAUAAAAUAUGCUGUAUUAAGAAAUGUUCUCAUCUGAAUUAAAGAUUGCAAACAAGUUGU